rnacentral:tRNA from 1 species
GUUUUAAUAGUUUAAAUAAUAAAACAAUGAUUUUGUAAUUCAUAAAUAGGAAAACCUUUAAAACU